ACUGCAUUAGCUCAGUUGGAUAGAGCAAUCGCUUCCUAAGUGAUCGGUCCCUGGUUCGAGUCCAGGAUGCAGUC
rnacentral:tRNA from 1 species